rnacentral:lncRNA from 1 species
GCAUAACAGGUUAUUUUCACAACUGUUCAUAAGACCAGUGAAACUAUGGAAGGAGAGAGGAGCUUCAAGGCCAGGAGAAACACUCUUAGUAACUUGGUAUAAACCCUCUGUGUGGUGUUUGGAGGCAACAGGAGCCGAGUUAUCAGCUUACUGGGAUGUCUCCAUUCCCCAGAACUGCCUUAAGGACAAGGAUCUGACAUGGUAAGGGAUCUCAUUCAGCAAAAUACUUGUAAUGUGCUGUCAAUAAUCAGAUAAAUAGCCUCAGCUGUUAUUCUGUACGGCUGUAUCAGAACUGUGGGAUCCACAGAAAAAUGUACUUCCCACAUGCAUUAUCAAUUUACUUCCCUUAAGCCCACCUGCACUGAU